UAGUAACUGCGAGUGAAGAGGGAAAAGCUCAAAUUUAAAAUCUGGCAGUGUUUCACUGUCCGAGUUGUAACCUAGAGAAGUGUAACCUGCGCUGGACCGUGUAUAAGUCUCCUGGAAUGGAGCAUCACUGAGGGUGAGAAUCCCGUCUUUGACACGGACCACCAGUGCAUUGUGGUUGUGCUCUCAACGAGUCGAGUUGUUUGGGAAUGCAGCUCUAAAUGGGUGGUAAAUUCCAUCUAAAGCUAAAUAUUGGCGAGAGACCGAUAGCGAACAAGUACCGUGAGGGAAAGAUGAAAAGAACUUUGGAAAGAGAGUUAAACAGUAUGUGAAAUUGUUGAAAGGGAAACGUUUGAAGUCAGUCGCGUCGGUUGGGGAUCAGCCUGACAUUGUUGGGUGUACUUCCUGGUUGACGGGCCAACGUCAGUUUUGAUUGCCAGAAAAAGGCCAAAGGAAUGUGGCACCUUUGGGUGUGUUAUAGCCCUUGGUCGUAUAUGGUGGUUGGGACUGAGGAAAGCAGCGUGCCGAAAGGCCGGGUUUCGACCACGUUCACGCUGAGGAUGUUGGCAUAAUGGCUUUAAGCGACCCGUCUUGAAACACGGACCAAGGAGUCUAACAUGCAUGCGAGUGUUUGGGUGGAAAACCCUUACGCGUAAUGAAAGUGAAAGUUGAGAUCCCUGUCGUGGGGAGCAUCGACGCCCGGACCAGAACUUUUGGGACGGAUCUGCGGUAGAGCACGUAUGUUGGGACCCGAAAGAUGGUGAACUAUGCCUGAAUAGGGUGAAGCCAGAGGAAACUCUGGUGGAGGCUCGUAGCGAUUCUGACGUGCAAAUCGAUCGUCAAAUUUGGGUAUAGGGGCGAAAGACUAAUCGAACCAUCUAGUAGCUGGUUCCUGCCGA
rnacentral:rRNA from 1 species